rnacentral:rRNA from 1 species
UAGGGAAUAUUAGAAAUGGACGAAAGUCUGAUCUAGCAACACCGCGUGUGCGAAGAAGGCCUUCGGGUUGUAAAGCACUUUUUGGAAGGAUUAGGAAGGAAUGUACUUCCAGAAUAAGUCUCGGCUAACUACGUGCCAGCAGCCGCGGUAACACGUAGGAGGCAAACGUUAUCCGGAUUUACUGGGCGUAAAGCGCGUGUAGGUGGUUCUGUAAGUAGGGCGUGAAAGCUCCUGGCUCAACUGGGAGAGGCCGUUCUAAACUGCAGAGUUGGAGAAGGGAGAGGGAAGGGGAAAUCCGGGUGUAGCGGUGGAAUGCGCAGAUAUCCGGAGGAACACCAGUGGCGAAAGCGGCCUCCUGGACCAUUCCUGACACUCAGACGCGAAAGCUAGGGUAGCAAACGG